GCAUUUUUUUUCCUCUUGAAGAACUUCACUGAAAAACUGGAAGCUUUUUUAAGAAAGUGAGAAAGGACCUGAAAGAAGAAAGGACAAAAAUGGGAGAGAAUGCCUGAGGAUGGAGAUAAGAUUGUGCAAGAAAGUGGGGGAACAAAGGAGCUCUAUGCGGGAAGAAUACUGAGAAACAUACAUGGCUCCUGAUGUCAGGAUGACAGCUGCAUAGGGGCAUCUGCAGAUGCUGACUGACUCAAGUGGGAGGUUGGAAUGACUACUUCUGAAGAUGACUUGCAUCAUAUUCCAGCUACUUCUGGCAUUUUACUUGAGAGUGUAAUCUGCUUUUUUGC